rnacentral:rRNA from 1 species
UGGGGAAUAUUGGACAAUGGGCGCAACGUGAUCCAGCCAUGCCGCGUGAGUGAUGAAGGCCCUAGGGUUGUAAAGCUCUUUUGUGCGGGAAGAUAAUGACGGUACCGCAAGAAUAAGCCCCGGCUAACUUCGUGCCAGCAGCCGCGGUAAUACGAAGGGGGCUAGCGUUGCUCGGAAUCACUGGGCGUAAAGGGUGCGUAGGCGGGUCUUUAAGUCAGGGGUGAAAUCCUGGAGCUCAACUCCAGAACUGCCUUUGAUACUGAAGAUCUUGAGUUCGGGAGAGGUGAGUGGAACUGCGAGUGUAGAGGUGAAAUUCGUAGAUAUUCGCAAGAACACCAGUGGCGAAGGCGGCUCACUGGCCCGAUACUGACGCUGAGGCACGAAAGCGUGGGGAGCAAACA